rnacentral:rRNA from 1 species
UACGAAGGGGGCUAGCGUUGUUCGGAUUUACUGGGCGUAAAGCGCACGUAGGCGGAUCGUUAAGUCGGGGGUGAAAUCCUGGAGCUCAACUCCAGAACUGCCUUCGAUACUGGCGAUCUUGAGUCCGGAAGAGGUGAGUGGAACUCCGAGUGUAGAGGUGAAAUUCGUAGAUAUUCGCAAGAACACCAGUGGCGAAAGGCGGCUUACGUGGUCCGGAUCUGACGCUGAGGCGCGAAAGCGUGGGGAGCAAACAGG